rnacentral:misc_RNA from 1 species
AAGUCGUAACAAGGUAUCCGUAGGUGAACCUGCGGAUGGAUCAUUACCAAAGGAUAACUUCCAACGUCCUGUGAACUGUUUUGAACAACGGUCAGCAGUAAGAUUUACCUCUCUCUGCUAGCCGUACCAUUAAACGUCUUAAACUAAAACUUACGUCUCUUUAGUAUGAACUAAAGACAACUUUUAGCAAUGGAUCUCUUGGCUCUC